ACCGCACGCACCGCUGCAGGGGGGCAGCGGGAAUACCGACUGCAGGCGCCUAACCGCCAGCGCGUGGGCGUGGAACCUACAGCAGGCACGCUAUAACCCGACCAGGCGCCAGAAAGAGGAUCCGACCCCCGGACCGCCGCGGGCCGCCGCGCAGUCUGCAGAGGCGCAUCGACAGCGCUCGAGACAUGGAGCCUCCGCCCAGACGCAGCCACGAAGACGCCGGUUACCUCAGCCUGGGAGUCGAGGAGCUCCAGGAAGAACCGCAUGAUACGAAGCCUACCGCCGCGACCUCGGUAAUCGUAACGGGAAAAGCUGUCGAGGAAGAUCCACGGCCCGAACCUGAGCAGGGAGCAGCAGCAGCAGAACAAGGCCGUGUAGGCGCGGGAGCUCCCGGCCCCAUGGACGACGAGAACCAGAAGGGCGGCGGCGGCGGCGGUGAGGAAUCCCCGCAGCAGGAGCAGGAGCUGGCCCACGCGGCCACCGAGGAUCCGGAACGCGAAGGCAGCCAGCUGUUCUUCCCCUGCAACCCGUAUGGCUGGGUGCAACUGAAGGAUCUGGAGAGAAUUUUCCAACGCAGCCAGUACCCCGACGUGUUCGCACGAACGGAUGUUACAAUACGCAUGGAUGUGACUGAAGCCGAAGGGCAGGUCAGCAAGCCUGAAAAAAACAACUUGCCAGAGUAGCCAUUGUAAAGCCUGCCUCAGAACUUGGAUACUUUUGUUCUAGACAUUCUCAUGUUGUUGUUUUUGAUGCCUUUUCCAUGUUUGGGAAAUGAGUUUUGAACUUUGGGGGUUUUGGCGAGUGGAAAAUUAGAUAAUUAAACCCCAGUUUAUGGAAAUUGCCCAUUAUCAGAAGUAACAUAAUUUCCUAAAGGAAAAAGAAAAUAAAAGAGAACCAAACUGUUUCUCCUAUGUCUUGAACAAAAUUAAAUCUAAAUAAAGUUCAAUUCCUUCUAACACUGGUAUUCUCUAGGGAGCACUUCUGUGUGGAGUUAUGCUGGGGCUC
rnacentral:lncRNA from 1 species